UUGACGUCGAAAUCGAGCCUUGCCGGAUUCUGCAAAAUUCUGGAAUUUUUCCGACCACCGAAGCUUUCGAUCGGUAUAUCUCGAGCUACAGACCAUAUUUUUCUGUGAUUCUUGAACCAGUGAGUUCUUCUUGAGUUUCUUAACAACUCUUCAGAAAGAAUCGAAGCCUUAAAUUGACGUUUUUACGUCGAACUGGAACUCGCCGUUUUCUGCAGUUUCUCGCCGGUUUCUGGAACAUUCCGGCCACCUUCAUACUGUUCAAGGUGAUCGACAGUUUGAUUUGGCGGACGAUUCGUGAAAUUGUAUUUUGAGCUGUUAAGAAGACGCAGCGGGAAUUUAGAGCGGGUAAUCUUACAGGACAGGAGAACCAGGACGGUGAUCGUGCGGUUAGAGCAAUGAUUAUAGUUUUACAGCAAUUGUAAUAGUGAGGCGAGUUAAGCUCAUUUGAGCCUUACAAUUUGAUUUGGUGGGAGUGUGCUGUAAUAAAUAACUUGAGGAAUUGGGUUAUUGUAAAUUUGAGAGUUGUGAAGUGUGGUUGUUUGUGAGAA